GCGCCGGUGGUGUAAAGGCGUAGAGCAUGCCCGCCCAGUCAGAGGAGGUGCGGGUUCGAGUCCCGUCUGGCGCU
rnacentral:tRNA from 1 species